rnacentral:snRNA from 1 species
GUGCUCGCUUUGGCAGCACAUAUACUAAAAUUGGAACAAUUUUAGAAGAUUAUCUGUCCCCUGUGCAAGGAUGACACGCAAAUUUGUGAAGAGUUCCAUAUUUUU